UAAAUAUAACCAAAGUUUCUGGAUUAUAUUUUCUUAGCUAAAGAUUUUUAGUUUUCAUGUUUGAUUAUAGAAAGUGCUGACGUGAAACUGUGGAGAUCGCACGAGAGGUGAAAUCCCAAACCACAGCCGAUCUCCGCAGAUUUACAAGCUGGGAAAGUUUAGUUAGGCUAAUUACUUAUGUUUGCAUAAUACUUUAAAAGAGCCGUCCUGGUUGUUUCACAGUGCGUUUUCUCAGGAGUUUAUGCUGUAAUAUUAAAAAGUGUUGUGUGUGUGUGAUGGUCUUCAGUGAUGCACGCGCUCAGUGUCAACAUUGUUGUCGGAGUAGCGUUCAGUGUUCAGCACUAACGAUUAACAGAAAAAUGUGAUGGUUCAGCAUCAGGCUAUCAGGAAAACAGAGUUUCUGGUCCACAAGGCUUGCACACAUCCUCCUGGUGCCGUCACUGUGGAAACAUUUGAUCAGCUGUCUGACAGAGUUGCAGACCUGGUAAACAUAACUGUGUUGGCGUAGCAUAAACUGUGAUUCUUGUUAGGGGUCUGUUAUCUGUGUUUCAUUGCAGGCAGAUUUCAUCAAAGUGGCUCAUCCGGAUGCUACGUUUCAGAAGGGACCUACGUUGAAAUCGAAACUGUUGUGGAAAAAGCCUGAAGUAUAUACUAGAAAUUGGAGCUCUUUUGGCCACACUGGACUGGGCAGGUGAACUUUGAAAAAUCCUUUAGACAUGAUUUAAAAGUUAAACAAGAGAAGACGUAUUUCUGAAACGACUGUGGACUCAAAACUGUGUUUGUAUGAGUUUAAAAAAAGGGAAUCGGUAAGAAUUGUCAAUGAUUUUGAAAGAAGUCUCACAAAGGCUGCA